rnacentral:rRNA from 1 species
UCCCAGACUCCUACGGGAGGCAGCAGUGAGGAAUAUUGGUCAAUGGCCGGAAGGCUGAACCAGCCAUGCCGCGUGAAGGUCAGUGCCCUAUGGGCGUUAAACUUCUUUUGUGCGGGAGCAAUAAUGGUCACGUGUGGCCAGACGAGAGUACCGUACGAAUAAGCAUCGGCUAACUCCGUGCCAGCAGCCGCGGUAAUACGGAGGAUCCGAGCGCUAUCCGGAUUCAUUGGGUUUAAAGGGUGCGUAGGUUGUUUUAGAAGUUAGCGGUGAAAUACCGAUGGUCAACAUCGGGGCUGCCGCUAAUACUGUAGGACUAGAGAUCGGAUGCAGCAGGCGGAAUGUGUAGUGUAGCGGUGAAAUGCAUAGAUAUUACACAGAACACCGAUUGCGAAGGCAGCUUGCUAGGCCGGAUCUGACACUGAUGCACGAAAGCGUGGGGAUCGAACAGGAUUAGAUACCCCCGUAA